UACGAAGGGUGCAAACGUUGCUCGGAAUCAUUGGGCGUAAAGCGCACGUAGGCGGCGCUGCAAGUCGGACGUGAAAUCCCUCGGCUCAACCGAGGACGUGCAUCCGAAACUGCAGUGCUCGAGUAUGGAAGAGGGAAGCGGAAUUUCCGGUGUAGCGGUGAAAUGCGUAGAUAUCGGAAGGAACACCAGUGGCGAAAGCGGCUUCCUGGUCCAGCACCGACGUUCAGGCACGAAAGCGUGGGGAGCAAACAGG
rnacentral:rRNA from 1 species